GCAUGUGUAUACACCUCAAUCCACAUGUGUUGGAGUGGAUUGGAAUGGAACUUAGUUUAAUACUCCAAUCCACUUCAACACAUGUGGAUUGAGAUGAAUACAUGU
rfam:Sorghum bicolor cultivar BTx623 chromosome 6, whole genome shotgun sequence.